rnacentral:rRNA from 1 species
UGAGGAAUAUUGGUCAAUGGGCGAGAGCCUGAACCAGCCAAGUAGCGUGCAGGAUGACGGCCCUAUGGGUUGUAAACUGCUUUUGUAUGGGGAUAAAGUCAAUCACGUGUGAUUGUUUGCAGGUACCAUACGAAUAAGGACCGGCUAAUUCCGUGCCAGCAGCCGCGGUAAUACGGAAGGUCCGGGCGUUAUCCGGAUUUAUUGGGUUUAAAGGGAGCGUAGGCUGGAGAUUAAGUGUGUUGUGAAAUGUAGACGCUCAACGUCUGACUUGCAGCGCAUACUGGUUUCCUUGAGUACGCACAACGUUGGCGGAAUUCGUCGUGUAGCGGUGAAAUGCUUAGAUAUGACGAAGAACUCCGAUUGCGAAGGCAGCUGACGGGAGCGCAACUGACGCUGAAGCUCGAAGGUGCGGGUAUCGAACAGGAUUAGAUACCCUGGUAGUCCGCACAGUAAACGAUGGAUGCCCGCUGUUGGUACCUGGUAUCAGCGGCUAAGCGAAAGCAUUAAGCAUCCCACCUGGGGAGUACGCCGGCAACGGUG